GACGAACCGUGCGAACGUUGUUCGGAAUCACUGGGCUUAAAGGGCGCGUAGGCGGGUCGAAAAGUCCGCGGGGAAAUCCCCCCGCUCAACGGGGGAACGGCCGCGGAUACUGUCGGCCUCGAGGGGGGUAGGGGCGAGCGGAACGCUGGGUGGAGCGGUGAAAUGCGUUGAUAUCCAGCGGAACUCCGGUGGCGAAGGCGGCUCGCUGGACCCCCACUGACGCUGAGGCGCGAAAGCCAGGGGAGCGAACGGG
rnacentral:rRNA from 1 species